rnacentral:lncRNA from 1 species
CUAGUAUUUUGCUAAAUGGGUUCAUCUAUUAUGUUUGUUUAUCUGUGAAGUAGCAGUCCAGUCUAGUGAGCUGUGUUUGAAGUAAUUUGACUCAUAAUAUUCUUAAUCAUGGUCACAUUUUCUACAAAGGGACAACCGACCAUGAAAUCAACUCAUUGAGAAUUAUGCAUCUCAGCUGGAAUUUUGGCAUUAAAUUUAUGACUUAAUGUGUUAGAAGAUGAGUCAGGAUGCCUGAUGUUGUUAUUCUGUAGUCCUAACUUCCAAUAUCAAAUUAUCAAUCAUCUAAAACCACUUAGACUCUGUUUGGAUCCUUAAAAUUGAAUUCCAUUCUAAUAAUUAUAACUUAGCCACAAAUUAAUUAAGUUAAUAUAGUUGUACAUAAAAUAUAUUUAUACUAUUGUCGGACAUAUGAGGGGGAUACUUAUGUGUUGCACUUCUAUGUUCUAUCGAAGAGCAUGCUAUAAGUUGCACAGUAAAAAUAGUAUAGAAUCAAUUUCUAUUUUCUACCCUAUGAAUUUAAGAUAAGCUUAUAUCUCAACUUUGAAAAGUUGUGAAAUACAAAUUAGCCUAGUCCAUUAAGUAGAUUACAAUUCCUCCAAAAUAAAGGGAUCCAAGCGGACCCUUUGAAAAAUGGAAUGAUUCUACUGUGCUAUAUCAUACAGUGAUGUCUUUUUCCUACUAACCAUAUUACUAUGCUGUAGGCAAAGCUGUCAUUCAUUCUGAAUCUACCAACAAAAGGCUCCUUGAGAUAAAAAAGAUACUGGAAGUCAAUGAAGGCGAAAAGAUG